rnacentral:lncRNA from 10 species
AUGAAGUGGACUUAUAACGUAUGAAGAUCUUAUUCAAUCAUUUCCACUGUUGAAUUUUAGAUAUUAAACAUAUAGAUAGAUAUGAGUUUGCACUACAUUUUUACACUAAUGUUUGAUGAUGUCCUUAGAGAAUAUUCAUAGAAAUAGAAUUAUUGGAUCAACAGCUGUGGGUGAUUUAAAGUUUGUUUCAUGUAUUUCCAAUUUCCUUUUCAGGAAGGUUGUGAUUUGUACACUUUACAUCAACCUUUGUGUAUUUGCUAUAUGUUUCCAUGCUUUUCUAGGAACUCAUUUGGUGCCUAAAAAGAACAAAUAACAACAAAACAAAAUUUACCUCUUCAUCUUUGCUUCACUUUUCUAUUCUGCUACAGUGCUCCAUUUUCCCUAAUUACUCAUAUAAGAAUUCAGGAUAAAUAGCUUAUUCAUUUCCACCUCCAGUUUCAAGUUCUGGAAGCUGCAAAUUCCAACAUCAAGGCACUUACAGUUCUAGUGUCUGGUGAGCGCUUGCGAGGGCCUGCUUCCCAGCUUGUAUGGAGGUCACCGUUUUCUCACUGUAUCUUCAUAUGACUGAGAACAGCAAAAGAGAAAGAAGCUCUGCCCUGUCUCUGGGCACUAAUCCCACGAAUGAGGUCUACACACUCAUACCUAAUUACCACCCAAGGCCCCUUCAAAUGCCAUCAUAUUGUGGAUAAGGCUUCAAUAUAUAAGUUUUGAGGGCAUGUACAUAUUUAGUUUAUAGCAGAGACUAAAUUUUCUUUCCUUUUAGUAAAAAGGGACAUUUUCUUAAAAUGUUUUGUGGUUGUUUGUGGUGUUUUGUGUGUGUGUGUGUGUGUAUCAGAGAGUGUGUUUGUGUGGCAUGUGUUUUGUGGAAUAGAUGUAAUAAUUAUUACUUUAGAAUAUAAUGCAAAGAUGAAAAUAUUCCAGUGCUUUUUUUGACCAGUGCCUUUUUUUGACUAUGUAAAAAAUAAUUUAUUUCUGCCUGAGGAUCACUCUGCAAACACAAAAGAAAGCAACAACCAAAUCAUGAAAGACUCUGAACAUUUCAGUAACAAUCAUUGCAAUAUCUCUACAGAGUCCUAACUCUUUAUUAGAAUUGCUGUGACUCUUCAUGAUAGGCUAUCUUAUCACCACUCUAAUUCAAAUUUUGCACACUUCAAAUGCCUUGAUCCAGUCAUAUGAACAAAAUGGAAAUUCCCAACCUAGCCAUUCUCUCUUCAACUUCCAGAUUUUUGCUUCUUUUGUACUGGGACAUGUUUUCAAAUAACAGGGCACAUUAUUGUGGCAUAUAUUUAUAGAUAUAACUUCUUUGCCUCCUUCAGUAGACUUUGAACUUUUUCACAUACUGUGUCUUCUUACCAUUUUUAGCACAUAAUUUAGCACAGUGCUUGGCCCACAUAUAGGUGCUCAAUAAACAUUUUUGGAAUAAAGAAAAUAUGAAUGAUCUAUAUUUCAAUGAUUAUUCUCUGAGGCCAAACUUUUCUAGAUAUUUUACUAUCAUGCAUAUUGGUAACAAUUUUAUAAAUAGUGGUUCUAAAUCAAAACACUUCUCCAUAGUAGACCAUUUCUUGACUCAGGAAUUCUUAGAGACUUUAAUAUGUUAAUUUACAUAUUGAAUCUUAAAGAGAACAUUAUGAAAUGUCAAAUUUUCUAACAUUAUUUGACAAUGAAUUUUUUAUUUUACCAUGGCAUGUUCAGAGAACCCAUGGGCCACAUUUGGAAAUUGUUGACCUACAAUAGGGCAGAGAAAGAUGCAAAACUAUGAUAGGUGACUUUACACAAUGAUCAUGGUAAAAUCACCAUGUAAACAAGCAAUGCUUCUUUGGCCUAACAAAUCAGGUUUCACCUUCUGUGUCACCACCGCUCCCAUUCUCUGUCCCACUAAGGGAGAGAGAACUUAGGAGUCCAUCCAGUGAGUGUGACAUCGCAAGUCAGCCUGCCUGGCUGUGAAGUGCCUCUGCCAAUUAUUUUGUGAACUUGGACAAGUCACUUAAUAUCACUAAGUCAUCUGUACAAUGUAGAUAAUGAUUGUUCCUAAUUAUAGUGUUGCUAUGAGAAUUAGACGAGAUUAUUCCUGUAAAGCAUGCAGAACAGCAUUAGUAAUUACACAGAAAUGUUAAUAAUUAUGAAUUUUUUCUAUUAGUAUUACUAUAAUAUAAAUCUGAAAGGAGAACAUUCAAGUUUUAAUGGAUUAAAAUGCAAAGUCUGAGCUAAAGCCUCUUAAGAACUAUACUAAUUCCAUAAAAAAGUGUAAAACUACAAAAUGUUCAAACAUAAUUAAGUAUGAAUUGAUGCUAAGAGAAAAUUAAUCUAAAGGAAGGGUAAUCUGGCACUACCCUAUGUGAUUCUGAAAAAUUAAGGCCUUAAAUCUAAAAUUUGAAAGUUGAUAGGUCAAUAGAGUAACUCAUAAUUUCUGAGCAAUUAUUUCUAUAAAUUUAAAAUAAUUAAAGUGCACAAAAAUCCAUAAAAGCAAGUAUAAGAAACAGCACCAUAUUUUUAAUGUUUAAGUAAUCUAAAUAUUGCAUAGCAUUGGAUUAUAAGCCUUAAACUCUUUAUGUUAGGGCUAUUCAGAGAACUAGAAUAUCUAUCUAUCGAUCAUUCUAUCUAUCUGUAAAAUAAAGAAUUGGCUCAUACAGUUAUAUAGACUGAGAAAUCCUAAGAUCUGCAAUUCCAACUCUUGCCCUGUGUGAAAGUAGAAGCCCUGUGUGAAAGACAAUCAUUUCACAGGAUCCAUUAGAGAAGAAUAUAUCCAUAUAUUAUAAGACAAAUUUGUUUACACCUAGCUGUGUACCUAACAGUAUUAGAUAUAUGUGCACACAAGGGGAUGUAUAUAAGAAGGCUCAUAUAGAAUUAUCUAUAAUAUCCCAAAACUAAAUAAAGUCAUUGUUCAUCAACAGAAGAAUAAGUACAUUAUUUUUUCUAUUUGUAAAGAAUGGAAAAUUAUACAAUGAUAAAAUAGGAUAAAUUAUAGCUUCACAAAAUAACGUGAAUAACUCUCACAAACAAUAUUAAGUGAAAAAAUUAGACAGAUUCUUUCUGUAUGACUUUAAUUAUAUAAAUUAUGAUGAAAAGUAAAGAAGUGACACAUAGUCAGAACCAUAAUUACUUCUUGGAGAAGUCAGGAGUUUGUGAUUUGGAAGGUACAAAUAAUAGGCUUCAGGGAUAUUGGAAAUGUUUCAUGUCAUGCCAGCUUGCUGGUUACAUGAGUAUUUACUUUAAAAGUAUUCAUUAAACUGUAAGUUUUAUUUAUUUAUAGAAUAUUUUAUAUGUGCCUUUUUUCUAUUAAAAACUAGAAAAACAGAGAACCAUUCAACCAAAUAGAGUGAAAAACAAAUAAAUAAAAUGAUGAAAGAAUAUUUUAGAUAAAGAACACAUAAUAAGUUUCAGAAAAAAAACAUAGUAAAAGGAAGAGAGGAUUUAAGAUAAUUUACUCAGACUGAGGAAAGUUAAUGUGUUCUACCCAUAGAAAUCAGGCAGAAAUAUAUAUGUAUAAAGCAAAAUUACAUCAAGUCUUAGGUCUUGCCUUGACACAGGGCCUUCUAGAAAGAAAACUGAAACCAGCCUAAGAAAUUGUGGGCACUACUGGCUACUGAAUGAUUGAAAAGGAGUAGGUACUGUCCAUAAUCUAAACAUUUUUCCUGGUAACUUACAGUAAUACAGGUUGAAAAUCCUUGAUCAUGGUGUUGGGGAAUUACAUACAAUGCAGCCCUAGAAAUUACACGACAGUACUAGUCAAACCAGAAUUUUAAAGCUCUUUUUACCGCUUCUCACUUUUCAUGCCCCAAUUUUAGAGAGAUCAAAGCUUUGGGAAAAUUGUCAUGAGUAAAUGUUUAACAUCAUUGAUAUCAUUGUCUCAUUGUGAAAAUCUGAGUUUUUAAUGGAAUAUUUUUAUAUUGUCAGAGGAUAAGUUUAUCAGUGUUAGGGACAUUUCUAUAUGGUGCUUUGGGUGGACAUCUGGAACAUAGCAAAUUAAUUUUUCUUUUUUAAAAAAAUACUUUUUUUGUUUCAACACCCACAUUGAUGAUAUGGUAAAUUUUUUUAAAAAAAUCGGUAAACCAAUAAAAAUAAUGGAUAGCCUACUAGUAAGUUAGAAACUCUUUCUAUGAAAGUUUUGUAUAUAAAUCUAUUAUUUUUGUUUGUGUUUUCAUUUUUCUUUGUGAGUAAUGCUGCAAAAGAAUUACAGACAGCUUAUUUUGCAUCACUUUUGCUUUGUGGAGUAACAGUUCCAAAUGUCCAAAUGUAAUAUAAUUAUUUCAUCUCGAUGACUUCAAAUUUAUGGGCACCUUUCCCAAAAUAGGAUUGUAAUUAUACUAUUAUUUAUUGAACUUUAAUUUUAUCAUGCUUAUGCUAAAUCAUUUCUUUAAUUAUGAUUGGGCUAACCAUAUGUUCAACCCCAUAAAUGACAAACUAAUGACAAGUAGCAUUGUCUGUUCUAGAGGCCAAUGAGAAUUAAACACAAGAGGCAGCUUUGAAGAAAGAGACCACUUAGCUAAACUUGUAUUAACAUUUUACUUAGAAAAUGUCAAGGAGUCCUGGCAGGAAUUCGGUCCAUUUUCACUUGUGGGUAUCAAUGCCUUCAAUAUAAUUUUAAACUAUUCCGGAUGAGCUUUUCUAAUAUAAAUUAGCUGUCAGUGUUAUAGAUUCCACAUUGUACCUGACCUACUGUGCCUCCUACUCUACUCUAUAUUCUAUCAUUCUCCCUAAAUUAUAAUCAGGAAUAUAAGAAGAACUCCCUACCCCUUUAAGAUCUGUGAAUAAAAUAUGACAUCUCUGAUGUGAGUAUCUAGUUAAAUCACAAGUAGUCUAAUACAUUGGUGAACAACAGUAACAACACUGGUUGAGAGGACAGUUAGAUACAGGAAACUUAUCAGUACUGCUCCUUAUGUCUUUUUGGGCAAAAAUCCUAAUCACUGUAAUGCAAUGUUGUUCUCAUUGAAAAAUUAAUCAUCAAUUAGCAGAGCUCUGGUAUCAUGUUGGUCAUCAUGAUCAUUACAAAGAAUAAAAAAUAAUAACUAUUAGAAAUAAUAAAUUUGGUUCUUAUCUAUUUAUAUACUCAAACAUCCUCAUAUAUUCACAUAAUUAUUAUUUCAUGUCCAUAAAUUUUUUUAACUCAACAAAAACACCUGAAAUCUCAUUAUGUUUUAGAAUUCAGGAUUCCAGCUUAGUUGACAAGCCCUGCAGAAUCAGGAGGAGCACCCACAGUCAACCGCAUUCAUAUUUCUGUAGAGAGAUACAUUUGUUUUUUAUAUAUCUAAAAUUUUCAGGUGUAAUUUUACUUUUUUGAUAUUUCUCUAUUUGUUGAAUAUUUUCCUCUUUAAAAAAUAUUUAAUAUUAAAAGAAAACCCAUAUAGAAAAUUCCAUAAAGUAAAAAGACAAAACUUACAGCUUAGUGCUUUGUUUUAAAGUAAAUAUGCAUCUACUGGGCCCGGUGGAUCACGCCGGUAACCUCAACACUCUGCGAGGCUGAGGCGGGUGGAUCACCUGAAGUCACGAGUUUGAAACCAGCCUUGCCAACUUGACAAAACACCGUCUCUGCUAAAAACACAAAAAUUAGCUGGGUGUGAUGGCACACGCCUGUAAUCCCAACUACUUGGGAGGCCGAGGCAGGAGAAUCUCUCGAAUCUGGGAGAGGGAGGUUGGAGUGAGCCAAGACAGGGCAACUGCACUCCAGCCUGAGCAAGAGAAUGAGACUCCAUCUCAAAAAGAAAAAUAAAUAUAAAUAAAUAAAUAAAUAUAUAAAGCGUGCAUGUAACCAGCAAUCAGACAUGACAUGAAACAUUGCCAACAUCCCCGAAGCCUGUGAUUUGCAUCCUCCAAAUCACAAACUCCUCUCUUCUCCAAAAAGUGUUUAUGGUUCUGACGGUGGGUUAGACUUCUUUUCUUUUUUUUCACAAUGUAUGUAAAUACAGUCACACAGAUUAAAACAAUUAGACAAAUUUCUUCUGUAUGAAUUCACAAUUGUUAGGUAACACUGUCCCAGGCAAGCCAGGAUGGAGGGUCACAGAUGAAGACUGAAGAUCUGUAUCAACUAAGCAUUCUUCUUGGUAUUUUGGAAGUUAAAAUUAUGAAUUUUAUGUGUUUGAUUAUUUGCUUAUCUGUUUAGUUAUUUAUUUACAUACAUACUUACUUUCUUGUGUACUUAUUUAUGCCACAGCUUAAUUCCAUUAAAAUAUAAGUGAAAAGCAAGGUGAUUUCUUCUUCAAAAGUUAACCUGAAGGCAAAAUCUGAGUUUAGUAAAUAACUAUGUCUAUACAUUGCUUUCCUAAUCUGUGAAAAACAAGUUAACACUAUUAAAUCUGUAGGGUUUUUUUGAAGAUUAGUUAAUAUAUAUACAGAUCUUACUAACUAAAAACACUCAGAAAUAUAAAGUAGUGUUUUUUCUGCAUUGUAAUUUAACUUAGAGUAAAAUAUAAUUUAAAGUGCAGGUGUACACAAUUAACCUAAAUGAAUCUGUCAUGAUUUUUCUUGAAUAAACUCUCCUCCUUUCAGGUAUAUGGCCAGAUUUACCUUCAGUGCAAAGUUUGUUUGUAUCUCUGUAAAUUGUAUGUGGCCAUUUGAUUUUUUUGGUGAUGAUGAGCAAACAUGCCACUUUUAAUCAAAAAGAUUUAAGGAACAGCAUAUGUUUUCCCACUUUCUUUGACACAGUGACUAAUGAUGAUCAAAGGUUAUGAGGUUUCGUCAGAUUGAGUCUCAUGAUAGAAUAGCAGGAGUAAAAAACAUAUACCUAUUGCUUUAAACCAAUACGACUUCUUUUUUCUACCGGAGCAUAACCUAGCUUAACAUGAUUGACUAUAUGUAUGCAUGUGUGGUGUGUUUGUGUGUGUCAAAUUAUAACCUCCUGAAAAAGGUAUGCUGAAAUUCUAACCUCCAGUACCUAUGAAAGUGAUCUUAUUUGGAAAUAUGGUCUUUGCAAAUGUAGUGAAGCAAAGAUGAGGUCAUAAUAAAUUAGGCUGGGCCUUAAUCCAAUGAUUAACGUCCUUUGAAAAAGAAGAAAAUUUGGAGAUUUAUGUGCACAAAGAGAAAACACAUGUCAAUGAAGGCAGAGAUUGAAGUGAUGCUGCUGCAAGCCAAGAAAUGCCAAGGAUUUCUGGCAACUACCAGAAGUUAGGAAACAGGCAUGGAACAAAUUCUACUUCAGAGACUCCAGAAGGAACUGACUUUGCCAGCAGCAUGGUUUUGGACUUCUAGUCUCCUUAACUGUGAGAGGGUAAAUUUAUGUUCUUUUAAGCCACCUAGUUUGUGGUACUUUGUUGCAACAACCUUAAGAAACUACAAUCUGUCUAUUCUAUUCUACUCUACUCCUAUUCUAUUCUAUUCUAUUCUAUUCUAUUCUAUUCUAUUCUAUUCUAUUCUAUUCUAUUCUAUUCUAUUCUAUUCCAUUCCAUUCCAUUCCAUUCCAUUCCAUUCCAUUCCAUUCCAUUCUAUUCUAUAUUUCCUUCCUUCCUUCUUUUCUUUUCUUUUCUUUUCUUUUCGUUUCCUUUCUUUCUUGCUUUCUUUCUCUUCUUUCCUUCUUUCUUUCUUUUCUUUCUUUCUUUCCUUCUCUUUCUUUCUUUUCUUUCUUUCUUCUACCUCUAUCUCUAUUUAUCUAUCAUCUGCCUAUCUAUUGUCUAUCUAUCUAUCUAUCUAUCUAUCUAUCUAUCUAUCUAUCUAUCUAUCAUCUAUCUGUCUCUAUUAUCAGUGGUUCUCAAGUUACAGUGUACACAGGAUCCCUUAGGAUUGCUUAAUUUAAUAACACCAACCCCCAUUCUGAUUUAUUUAAUAUUUCUUGGGUGAGAGUCAAGGUUUCGCAGUUUAAAUGAAUUCCAAAGGUGGUUUUGAUACUAGUGUUUCCCUGACUAAAUACUGGGAAAAUCAGAUAUAAUUAAUGCCCUGAUUUGAUGUAGAUUAACUAAUUUUAUUGGUAUUAUAUGGGUAAAUAAAGGAUGCCGUAGGAAAAACGAUGUCAUAAGUAAGACACUGUAGGAAAAAAUGCUCAAGGUAUAUUCCUGGAAAGACAGGAGUAUGAAUUUAGUAGAUUCUCAAGGUUUGUGUUGUUGAUUCAGCAAAGAUAGGUUGGGAAAAGACUUUGGAAUUCUUUAAGUGACUAGUUCUCCAUGCCAAUCUUAAUUAAGAAGGCCCUAGAAAGACAUUAGUUUUAUUUUUUUGAGGGACUGGGGGUGGUAACUUAUUAAUUGCAUUAAGACUAUCAGGAGAGUCUUUACUGAGCUGUUAGUGUCUGUCAUACAUAACCCACCCUUAAAAACUCUGUAUAGCAUUUCAUAUUGAAAGAUGGAUUGUCUAAUUGUGACUCAUUCUCUUAGACACACAACAGAGUCAUUACAUUUCAAAAUUAGAUCUCUUCCUAUUAUAUAUAAAACUGAGCCUCUUGGUUACUAGGUGAUAUUGUAGAAUUUAAGGAUAUCUGAUUUAAUAGAGUUGAAGAGAGGAUAAUUACCAAGAUAAUACUGUAUUAAAAAGAUAAAAUAAUAUUUAUCCUGUUUUGAAUAUCAGCCAUUUGCCAGCCAUUGAAUUAGGAACAUAAAUGAUAGGAUAUUUAAUGCUUAGAAGAAUAUUCUAAGAUAAAAUUACAUCCAAUUCAAAGAUUUUUUUUAAUGUUUAGAAAAAUAAGUAUCUUGCCUAAGAUCACAAAGCAAGGAUUUAAAUCUGUACUUCAAUGACUUCUAGCCUUGUAUUUAACAUAAAGAAGGACUAAAGGAAGAACAAGUGAGGGAAGUAGAAAGAGUAGAAGGAGCAAAGGGAGAAAAGAAGGAAAAUGGAAGGUAGAAGGAGGAGAAGGAGGGAGGAAAACAUUAUUUUGUAGAUAAAUUAUUUUUCAAAAGUAGAGAUGAAUUAGGAAAGAAAGAAGAGAAGUUUAGACCAUUAUUUGUAAGAACAGGAAAAACAAAAUAACCACUUUUUUUCUCACUUUGACCAUCUUUAUGAAAAGCAGCUUGUCAAUGAACUCCACAGUAACAGCCAAUCCUACAUUUUCUAUUAAUAUAUUGUAACCACUGAACUAAUCAAUCAUAGUUCUAAAUUAAACUAAUUUUGGACUCCCUUGAUUUAAGAGUUUAUAUAUACAAAUAUAUAUAUAUAUUUAUAUAUAUACAGGGAUUUCUGUUCUCUAAGAGACACUACCAAAUUUCAAUAUGCCAUGUCUUCUUACUCUAUACCUAAUUCUUUUUAUCAAUUUCAACCCCAUUCAAUUUGGCCCACAUGACUUGUGUGCCUCACUGUAUAUGUGAAAGUAUCAUAUUCAAUUCUAGGUUUGAUUAUAUAAAUGUUGAAUGUAAUAUUUUUAUAGGACUAUUUAAAAAUCAUUCCACAGCCACUAACUUUUGGCUUUUGUAAGAAUUCCCUUUAAGAGAGUUCAUUUCAGUGGAGAUAUUUCAAUAUUUUAAAAUAUCAGAUCACUGAUUAAUAUCAUUUUAGUAGAGGUUAAAAUUUCCAUUUGUAUGCUCUGGGGCACGAAAACUUGCAGCACCAAUCUAUCAAAAAAUGGCUUGCCACACACAAGGAUUUUUUUAAAUCCUUGAGCUAUAUGAUUUUUUUUUAACUUGGUCUCAUUGUCCCUUUGCCCUUUAAAUUUUACACCUCUACAUUGCUUUGAGCCAGAGCUUUACAACUCUGCACUAUCUUGCUAUAGCAGUAGAGUGGUACAUUUAGGUUUUGUAGGGUUCCUUUUCAGUAAGGUAGGUCUAACUUGCUUCCCCAGACUGACAAUUCUGUGCUUAACUGAACAUGCAGUUACACUUGAACACAUUCUAGCAUUUUCAUCUUAAGAUUAUCUUAAAGACAAUGUAAAGCCCCCAGGCACUGAGCAGGGUAGGAGUCAUGAAAAGGGUUUGGCCGUAUCCUGUGACUCUGUAUUGAAUAUCCACUCCAGAUAUUAUUCCCAUUCUUCAUUCUUUACCUUUUUCAUAUCUGCAUCUUAUGAAUCCAGAAGCAAUAAAGAGAAGUAUAGCUAAAUAAUUUCCAUUGGUAGAAUACGUAGUAUUUAAGAUUUACAUUUUUCCAUAUAUUUUCUGACAGGUUGUACCUUAUAUAUAUUCUGGAUAUAAGAUGCAACUUAUACCCAGAAGUGUGAAUAUAAAAUUUGGAGAAAUGUUUAAGCUUUUGAAUUUUAGGUAGCAGUGACACAAUUAUUUCUGGUGAGUCCUUGCAAAAGAAAGAAGUUGCAUUACAUUUUUACUCCAGAACUAACAAUAUGGAAUCUACAUAAAUCAUCUGAUAUCUAGGCUCAUUUAUUUAAUAUUACAUACAAAAACAAAAAGUAAUUAUUCUAAACCAUUUUAAUGAAAUGUUUUUAUUCACUGAAAGAAAGUUAUAAUAGCUAUUAUGGUCUUCCCUACAUGUUUAGCUAUUUUAAAUUUAAAGAAAAUAAGUUC